rnacentral:rRNA from 1 species
UACGUAGGGGGCAAGCGUUGUCCGGAAUCAUUGGGCGUAAAGGGCGCGUAGGUGGCCCGGUCAGCGUGUGGUGAAAGCUCGGGGCUCAACCCCGAGUCGGCCGUGCGAACUGCUGGGCUUGAGCACUGUAGAGGCAGGCGGAAUUCCGGGUGUAGCGGUGGAAUGCGUAGAGAUCCGGAAGAACACCGGUGGCGAAGGCGGCCUGCUGGGCAGUGGCUGACACUGAGGCGCGACAGCGUGGGGAGCAAACAGG